UACAGAGGGCGCGAGCGUCGUCCGGAAUCACUGGGCGUAAAGGGCGCGUAGGCGGUUCUUUAAGUCGGAUGUGCAAUCCUCGGGCUCAACCUGAGAACUGCAUCCGAGACUGAAGGGCUAGAGUGUCAGAGAGGAUAAUGGAAUUCCACGUGUAGCGGUGAAAUGCGCAGAGAUGUGGAGGAACACCAGUGGCGAAGGCGGUUAUCUGGAUGACAACUGACGCUGAGGCGCGAAAGUGUGGGGAGCAAACAGG
rnacentral:rRNA from 1 species